rnacentral:rRNA from 1 species
GAUCAUGGCUCAGGAUGAACGCUGGCGGCGCGCUUAACACAUGCAAGUCGAACGGUUAAAGCCCCUUCGGGGGUGCAUAAAGUGGCGAACGGCUGAGUAACACGUGGGCAACCUGCCCCCCGCACCGGGAUAGCCUCGGGAAACCGUGGGUAAUACCGGAUACUCCGCCACCCCCGCAUGGGGGAGGCGGGAAACGCGUAAACGGCGGGGAUGGGCCCGCGGCCUGUUAGCUCGUUGGCGGGGUAACGGCCCACCAAGGCGAUUAUGGGUAGCCGGGUUGAGAGACCGACCGGCCAGAUUGGGACUGAGACACGGCCCAGACUCCUACGGGAGGCAGCAGUGGGGAAUCUUGCACAAUGGGCGAAAGCCUGAUGCAGCGACGCCGCGUGCGGGACGAAGGCCCUCGGGUUGUAAACCGCUUUCAGCAGGGACGAGGCGCAAGUGACGGUACCUGCAGAAGAAGCCCCGGCUAACUACGUGCCAGCCGCCGC